rnacentral:rRNA from 1 species
GGGAACGUAUUCACCGCAGCGUUGCUGAUCUGCGAUUACUAGCGACUCCGACUUCAUGAGGUCGAGUUGCAGACCUCAAUCCGAACUGAGACCGGCUUUUUGGGAUUCGCUCCGCCUUACGACAUCGCAGCCCUUUGUACCGGCCAUUGUAGCAUGCGUGAAGCCCAAGACAUAAGGGGCAUGAUGAUUUGACGUCAUCCCCACCUUCCUCCGAGUUGACCCCAGCAGUCUCAUAUGAGUUCCCACCAUUACGUGCUGGCAACAUACGACGAGGGUUGCGCUCGUUGCGGGACUUAACCCAACAUCUCACGACACGAGCUGACGACAACCAUGCACCACCUGUAACCGAGUGUCCAAAGAGUUCCACAUUUCUGCGGCGUUCUCGGUUAUGUCAAGCCUU